GUGGGGAAUAUUGGACAAUGGGCGCAAGCCUGAUCCAGCCAUGCCGCGUGAGUGAUGAAGGCCCUAGGGUUGUAAAGCUCUUUCACCGGUUAAGAUAAUGACGGUAACCGGAGAAGAAGCCCCGGCUAACUUCGUGCCAGCAGCCGCGGUAAUACGAAGGGGGCUAGCGUUGUUCGGAAUUACUGGGCGUAAAGCGCACGUAGGCGGGUAUUUAAGUCAGGGGUGAAAUCCCGGAGCUCAACUCCGGAACUGCCUUUGAUACUGGGUACCUAGAGUAUGGGAGAGGUAAGUGGAAUUCCGAGUGUAGAGGUGAAAUUCGUAGAUAUUCGGAGGAACACCAGUGGCGAAGGCGGCUUACUGGUCCAUUACUGACGCUGAGGUGCGAAAGCGUGGGGAGCAAACAGGAUUAGAAACCCGAGUAGUCC
rnacentral:rRNA from 1 species